GGGAGCCGGAGGGAAACCGAGUCUUAAUUGGGCGUUAAGUUGCAGGGUAUAGACCCGAAACCCGGUGAUCUAGCCAUGGGCAGGUUGAAGGUUGGGUAACACUAACUGGAGGACCGAACCGACUAAUGUUGAAAAAUUAGCGGAUGACCUGUGGCUGGGGGUGAAAGGCCAAUCAAACCGGGAGAUAGCUGGUUCUCCCCGAAAGCUAUUUAGGUAGCGCCUCGUGAAUUCAUCUCCGGGGGUAGAGCACUGUUUCGGCUAGGGGGCCAUCCCGGCUUACCAACCCGAUGCAAACUGCGAAUACCGGAGAAUGUUAUCACGGGAGACACACGGCGGGUGCUAACGUCCGUCGUGAAGAGGGAAACAACCCAGACCGCCAGCUAAGGUCCCAAAGUCAUGGUUAAGUGGGAAACGAUGUGGGAAGGCCCAGACAGCCAGGAUGUUGGCUUAGAAGCAGCCAUCAUUUAAAGAAAGCGUAAUAGCUCACUGGUCGAGUCGGCCUGCGCGGAAGAUGUAACGGGGCUAAACCAUGCACCGAAGCUGCGGCAGCGACGCUUAUGCGUUGUUGGGUAGGGGAGCGUUCUGUAAGCCUGCGAAGGUGGCCUGUGAGGGUUGCUGGAGGUAUCAGAAGUGCGAAUGCUGACAUAAGUAACGAUAAAGCGGGUGAAAAGCCCGCUCGCCGGAAGACCAAGGGUUCCUGUCCAACGUUAAUCGGGGCAGGGUGAGUCGACCCCUAAGGCGAGGCCGAAAGGCGUAGUCGAUGGGAAACGGGUUAAUAUUCCCGUACUUGGUGUUACUGCGAAGGGGGGACGGAGAAGGCUAUGUUGGCCGGGCGACGGUUGUCCCGGUUUAAGCGUGUAGGUGUGUGUUCCAGGUAAAUCCGGUUCACUUUAACACUGAGGCGUGACGACGAGGCACUACGGUGCUGAAGCAACAAAUGCCCUGCUUCCAGGAAAAGCCUCUAAGCAUCAGGUAACAUCAAAUCGUACCCCAAACCGACACAGGUGGUCAGGUAGAGAAUACCAAGGCGCUUGAGAGAACUCGGGUGAAGGAACUAGGCAAAAUGGUGCCGUAACUUCGGGAGAAGGCACGCUGACACGUAGGUGAAGUGAUUUACUCAUGGAGCUGAAGUCAGUCGAAGAUACCAGCUGGCUGCAACUGUUUAUUAAAAACACAGCACUGUGCAAACACGAAAGUGGACGUAUACGGUGUGACGCCUGCCCGGUGCCGGAAGGUUAAUUGAUGGGGUCAGCGCAAGCGAAGCUCCUGAUCGAAGCCCCGGUAAACGGCGGCCGUAACUAUAACGGUCCUAAGGUAGCGAAAUUCCUUGUCGGGUAAGUUCCGACCUGCACGAAUGGCGUAAUGAUGGCCAGGCUGUCUCCACCCGAGACUCAGUGAAAUUGAACUCGCUGUGAAGAUGCAGUGUACCCGCGGCAAGACGGAAAGACCCCGUGAACCUUUACUAUAGCUUGACACUGAACAUUGAGCCUUGAUGUGUAGGAUAGGUGGGAGGCUUUGAAGUGUGGACGCCAGUCUGCAUGGAGCCGACCUUGAAAUACCACCCUUUAAUGUUUGAUGUUCUAACGUGGACCCGUUACCCGGGUUGCGGACAGUGUCUGGUGGGUAGUUUGACUGGGGCGGUCUCCUCCUAAAGAGUAACGGAGGAGCACGAAGGUUGGCUAAUCCUGGUCGGACAUCAGGAGGUUAGUGCAAUGGCAUAAGCCAGCUUGACUGCGAGCGUGACGGCGCGAGCAGGUGCGAAAGCAGGUCAUAGUGAUCCGGUGGUUCUGAAUGGAAGGGCCAUCGCUCAACGGAUAAAAGGUACUCCGGGGAUAACAGGCUGAUACCGCCCAAGAGUUCAUAUCGACGGCGGUGUUUGGCACCUCGAUGUCGGCUCAUCACAUCCUGGGGCUGAAGUAGGUCCCAAGGGUAUGGCUGUUCGCCAUUUAAAGUGGUACGCGAGCUGGGUUUAGAACGUCGUGAGACAGUUCGGUCCCUAUCUGCCGUGGGCGCUGGAGAACUGAGGGGGGCUGCUCCUAGUACGAGAGGACCGGAGUGGACGCAUCACUGGUGUUCGGGUUGUCAUGCCAAUGGCACUGCCCGGUAGCUAAAUGCGGAAGAGAUAAGUGCUGAAAGCAUCUAAGCACGAAACUUGCCCCGAG
rnacentral:rRNA from 1 species